GGGUUGUGAGGUUAAGCGACUAAGCGUACACGGUGGAUGCCCUGGCAGUCAGAGGCGAUGAAGGACGUGCUAAUCUGCGAUAAGCGUCGGUGAGGUGAUAUGAACCGUUAUAACCGGCGAUUUCCGAAUGGGGAAACCCAGUGUGUUUCGACACACUAUCAUUAACUGAAUCCAUAGGUUAAUGAGGCGAACCGGGGGAACUGAAACAUCUAAGUACCCCGAGGAAAAGAAAUCAACCGAGAUUCCCCCAGUAGCGGCGAGCGAACGGGGAGGAGCCCAGAGCCUGAAUCAGUGUGUGUGUUAGUGGAAGCGUCUGGAAAGGCGCGCGAUACAGGGUGACAGCCCCGUACACAAAAAUGCACAUAUUGUGAGCUCGAUGAGUAGGGCGGGACACGUGGUAUCCUGUCUGAAUAUGGGGGGACCAUCCUCCAAGGCUAAAUACUCCUGACUGACCGAUAGUGAACCAGUACCGUGAGGGAAAGGCGAAAAGAACCCCGGCGAGGGGAGUGAAAAAGAACCUGAAACCGUGUACGUACAAGCAGUGGGAGCCUCUUAAUGGGGUGACUGCGUACCUUUUGUAUAAUGGGUCAGCGACUUAUAUUCUGUAGCAAGGUUAACCGAAUAGGGGAGCCGAAGGGAAACCGAGUCUUAACUGGGCGUUAAGUUGCAGGGUAUAGACCCGAAACCCGGUGAUCUAGCCAUGGGCAGGUUGAAGGUUGGGUAACACUAACUGGAGGACCGAACCGACUAAUGUUGAAAAAUUAGCGGAUGACUUGUGGCUGGGGGUGAAAGGCCAAUCAAACCGGGAGAUAGCUGGUUCUCCCCGAAAGCUAUUUAGGUAGCGCCUCGUGAAUUCAUCUCCGGGGGUAGAGCACUGUUUCGGCAAGGGGGUCAUCCCGACUUACCAACCCGAUGCAAACUGCGAAUACCGGAGAAUGUUAUCACGGGAGACACACGGCGGGUGCUAACGUCCGUCGUGAAGAGGGAAACAACCCAGACCGCCAGCUAAGGUCCCAAAGUCAUGGUUAAGUGGGAAACGAUGUGGGAAGGCCCAGACAGCCAGGAUGUUGGCUUAGAAGCAGCCAUCAUUUAAAGAAAGCGUAAUAGCUCACUGGUCGAGUCGGCCUGCGCGGAAGAUGUAACGGGGCUAAACCAUGCACCGAAGCUGCGGCAGCGACACNNNNNNNNNNNNNNNNNNNNNNNNNNNNNNNNNNNNNNNNNNNNNNNNNNNNNNNNNNNNNNNNNNNNNNNNNNNNNNNNNNNNNNNNNNNNNNACUUGCUCGUGGAGCUGAAAUCAGUCGAAGAUACCAGCUGGCUGCAACUGUUUAUUAAAAACACAGCACUGUGCAAACACGAAAGUGGACGUAUACGGUGUGACGCCUGCCCGGUGCCGGAAGGUUAAUUGAUGGGGUUAGCGGUAACGCGAAGCUCUUGAUCGAAGCCCCGGUAAACGGCGGCCGUAACUAUAACGGUCCUAAGGUAGCGAAAUUCCUUGUCGGGUAAGUUCCGACCUGCACGAAUGGCGUAAUGAUGGCCAGGCUGUCUCCACCCGAGACUCAGUGAAAUUGAACUCGCUGUGAAGAUGCAGUGUACCCGCGGCAAGACGGAAAGACCCCGUGAACCUUUACUAUAGCUUGACACUGAACAUUGAGCCUUGAUGUGUAGGAUAGGUGGGAGGCUUUGAAGUGUGGACGCCAGUCUGCAUGGAGCCGACCUUGAAAUACCACCCUUUAAUGUUUGAUGUUCUAACGUGGGCCCCUAAUCGGGGUUGCGGACAGUGUCUGGUGGGUAGUUUGACUGGGGCGGUCUCCUCCUAAAGAGUAACGGAGGAGCACGAAGGUUGGCUAAUCCUGGUCGGACAUCAGGAGGUUAGUGCAAUGGCAUAAGCCAGCUUGACUGCGAGCGUGACGGCGCGAGCAGGUGCGAAAGCAGGUCAUAGUGAUCCGGUGGUUCUGAAUGGAAGGGCCAUCGCUCAACGGAUAAAAGGUACUCCGGGGAUAACAGGCUGAUACCGCCCAAGAGUUCAUAUCGACGGCGGUGUUUGGCACCUCGAUGUCGGCUCAUCACAUCCUGGGGCUGAAGUAGGUCCCAAGGGUAUGGCUGUUCGCCAUUUAAAGUGGUACGCGAGCUGGGUUUAGAACGUCGUGAGACAGUUCGGUCCCUAUCUGCCGUGGGCGCUGGAGAACUGAGGGGGGCUGCUCCUAGUACGAGAGGACCGGAGUGGACGCAUCACUGGUGUUCGGGUUGUCAUGCCAAUGGCACUGCCCGGUAGCUAAAUGCGGAAGAGAUAAGUGCUGAAAGCAUCUAAGCACGAAACUUGCCCCGAGAUGAGUUCUCCCUGAGACUUAGAGUCUCCUGAAGGAACGUUGAAGACGACGACGUUGAUAGGCCGGGUGUGUAAGCGCAGCGAUGCGUUGAGCUAACCGGUACUAAUGAACCGUGAGGCUUAACCUUACAACGCCGAAG
rnacentral:rRNA from 1 species